rnacentral:rRNA from 1 species
UGCAGUCGAGCGGACGGAUGGGAGCUUGCUCCCUGAAGUCAGCGGCGGACGGGUGAGUAACACGUGGGCAACCUGCCUGUAAGACUGGGAUAACUUCGGGAAACCGGAGCUAAUACCGGAUAAUGCACAGCCUCUCAUGAGGCUAUGCUGAAAGAUGGUUUCGGCUAUCACUUACAGAUGGGCCCGCGGCGCAUUAGCUAGUUGGUGAGGUAACGGCUCACCAAGGCAACGAUGCGUAGCCGACCUGAGAGGGUGAUCGGCCACACUGGGACUGAGACACGGCCCAGACUCCUACGGGAGGCAGCAGUAGGGAAUCUUCCGCAAUGGACGAAAGUCUGACGGAGCAACGCCGCGUGAGUGAUGAAGGUUUUCGGAUCGUAAAACUCUGUUGUCAGGGAAGAACAAGUGCCGGAGUAACUGCCGGCACCUUGACGGUACCUGACCAGAAAGCCACGGCUAACUACGUGCCAGCAGCCGCGGUAAUACGUAGGUGGCAAGCGUUGUCCGGAAUUAUUGGGCGUAAAGCGCGCGCAGGCGGUCUCUUAAGUCUGAUGUGAAAGCCCACGGCUCAACCGUGGAGGGUCAUUGGAAACUGGGGGACUUGAGUGCAGAAGAGGAAAGUGGAAUUCCACGUGUAGCGGUGAAAUGCGUAGAGAUGUGGAGGAACACCAGUGGCGAAGGCGACUUUCUGGUCUGUAACUGACGCUGAGGCGCGAAA